UACAGAGGUCUCAAGCGUUGUUCGGAUUCAUUGGGCGUAAAGGGUGCGUAGGUGGCGCCGUAAGUCAGGUGUGAAAUUUCGGAGCUUAACUCCGAAACUGCAUUUGAUACUGCGGUGCUUGAGGACUGGAGAGGAGACUGGAAUUCACGGUGUAGCAGUGAAAUGCGUAGAUAUCGUGAGGAAGACCAGUGGCGAAGGCGACUCUUUGGUCUGUAACUGACGCUGAGGCGCGAAAGCGUGGGGAGCAAACAGG
rnacentral:rRNA from 1 species